rnacentral:rRNA from 1 species
UGCGCAGGUGGGCUUGUAAGUCAGUGGUGAAAUCUUGCCGCUUAACGGUAAAAUUGCCAUUGAUACUGCAAGUCUUGAGUAUGGUUGAGGUAGGUGGAAUGUGUUGUGUAGCGGUGAAAUGCAUAGAUAUUACACAGAACUCCGAUUGCGAAGGCAGCUUACUAAGCCAUAACUGACGCUGAGGCACGAAAGCGUGGGGAGCGAACAGGAUUAGAUACCCUGGUAGUCC